AGUCGCAAUGCUUUCAUCUUUGAGCCAUCUCUCACUGGGCCUUUCAAGUCUGGGUCAUCCAGCGUUAGCUUUGCCAUAAAGCAAUGGCGUUUUUUUUUAUGGGAUAUAUUUUAUCACUUGUUAACGGUUUAUAAACGUCGAGCUGUCUGGGUCCUCUAGCUGUGCUGGAGGGAGGAAGGCAGUAGCUGAGGUAUGAGAGAUGCCAAGAAAGCAGUGAGAUCAUUCUCUCCAUCCACACGCCAUGUGGGAAAGUAGGGGAAAAUUAUCCGCAUCAAAACAUUCCGCUCCAUCCAUCGUUCUGGAGGAGGAGAUGAGACAAAAGAGGGAUCGGAGAGAGAGAGAGAAGAUCUGGCGUAUCCAUGGUGAUGGUUUUGUCGAGCAAAAAAGACCCUGUGAAAAAAUCUACAAGCGUCACCAGCUGUCCAGACUUGACAGACUACCCAUUCCCACAUCAGUCGCAACCAACAAUGGAAAGUAGAAUGAACAGCUUCAACAUUCUUCAGACAUCCUAUAAUGUUUGGAUUACAUUUGUAUGUCAUACUCCACUCGCAAUGAUCUGGGCAAAGUCAAACGAGCAUAACAAUUGUAAGAGCGACUAGCCAGGUUAGAGAGGUAAGCACCAAACAGGCGGGAAGGAAGAGCAAGGGAGGCAGACAAUGGCUAAAGCUGGGAAUGAACUCAAUAUACUAUUAAUUACUAAAAACAAAUCAAAACUGUGGAGAAAUGAUAACGGACCUACAUUCAUACAGUAUAUUUACUGUGGUCAGAUUGCUAAUAAUCACCCAAAUGAAAGCUAGACAGUCAGAGAGCAUUGGCAAUUCUAAAAACGAUGGAUAGAGGACAAUUGUUGAUGGCGGACCUCGUUGAAGACCGAAUGCGGGGCAAAACUAGUUUGAGGUCCCAGGCAACAGUGUUUUAACGGAGUGGGUCGGGGGGAAUUGGACAACACCUCCUGACAUUUCAAAAGGGGCAGGAUCAAAGGAGACAAGAGGGCCCAGCCAUGUGUGAAAGGGAGAUGGGUGGCCAAACGGAGAAAGGUGCUUCCAAGAAUUGGGGAUCCAUGUUCCCAGGACUUUUCUUCUCUGUUUUCUCUUCCCAUUUGUCCGGACUGGAGUGAAAUGGUGGCAGUUUGAUUUCCACAGAAAGUGUUGUUAUACAAGGAAGUAAAAGAGGUUUGUGAAGCCUUUCAGUUGUUAGUCAUGCAAGUGGACAGACAUUCAUUAUUGGGUGCUAAUCCUUAUGUCAGUUGAUUAAAACAAUUUUUUUACCCAUACAACUGAGGCUUCACCUGUAAUUCAUUUAAAGAUGCAUGCAUUUCUUCGGAGAAUGGAAUGAGUCAGUGACUCAGUGUGUCCAAUUGUUGGACGUAUUUUUGG